GAUGAACGCUGGCGGCGUGCUUAACACAUGCAAGUCGAACGAUGAAGCCCAGCUUGCUGGGUGGAUUAGUGGCGAACGGGUGAGUAACACGUGAGUAACCUGCCCUUGACUCUGGGAUAAGCCUGGGAAACUGGGACUAGUACUGGAUAUGACUUCUCAUCGCAUGGUGGGGGGUGGAAAGAUUUAUUGGUCUUGGAUGGACUCGCGGCCUAUCAGCUUGUUGGUGAGGUAAUGGCUCACCAAGGCGACGACGGGUAGCCGGCCUGAGAGGGUGACCGGCCACACUGGGACUGAGACACGGCCCAGACUCCUACGGGAGGCAGCAGUGGGGAAUAUUGCACAAUGGGCGCAAGCCUGAUGCAGCGACGCCGCGUGAGGGAUGACGGCCUUCGGGUUGUAAACCUCUUUCAGUAGGGAAGAAGCGAGAGUGACGGUACCUGCAGAAGAAGCGCCGGCUAACUACGUG
rnacentral:rRNA from 1 species